UAGGAUUUUGAGCCAAGGAAACAUUAAGUGUCUGUAGAAUUGAGAAGGCAGUUUAACACACUGAUCAUAUCUCCAAUAAUUGGAAUCUGAAAUAAGCUGUUGUAAAAGGAUGCAUUCCAACUGCCAUCUGACAAUUCACAUGCUGGUUUGUCCCAGGCAUUACAAGCUCAUGGCUAUGGAACCUCAGAGUUCACUCUCUGGGUGUGAGCUUACAUGUUCUCAUCCACCAGAGCUCUCAACUCCAGCAUAAAGGAAUAAUUCUGCAGAUCCCUAUCCUUAACUUUCCUGAGACGAUACAAAAAUGCUGCCAUAUAAAUUCCAAAAUGAACUAAUGAAGAAUGACUUUGGAGAUGAAAUGUAUAUGCAUGUGUACAGCAGCUAACAUGGCAACUGGAAUACAAAGUAUUUUUUCUUCUCACAUUUUACCAACCAGCAUAUGAAUUUCCUGCAGAGGACAGGGAUUAACAGCUAGCCUCCUUUGGAAAAAAUGCAAAACUAUGAAUCAAAU
rnacentral:lncRNA from 1 species